AAGUGUUACAGCUCUUUUAGAAUUUGUCUAGCAGGCUUUCGAGUUUUGCCAGAAACCACC
rnacentral:snRNA from 1 species